rnacentral:tRNA from 1 species
GCCCCCGUAGCUCAGUUGGAUAGAGCACCGGUUUCCUAAACCGGGUGUCGUGCGUUCGAAUCGCGCCGGGGGCACCA